CCUACGGGAGGCUGCAGUGAGGAAUAUUGGUCAAUGGACGAGAGUCUGAACCAGCCAAGUAGCGUGAAGGAUGACUGCCCUAUGGGUUGUAAACUUCUUUUAUAAAGGAAUAAAACGAGGCACGUGUGCCUUUUUGCAUGUACUUUAUGAAUAAGGAUCGGCUAACUCCGUGCCAGCAGCCGCGGUAAUACGGAGGAUCCGAGCGUUAUCCGGAUUUCUUGGGUUUAAAGGGAGCGUAGAUGGGUUGUUAAGUCAGUUGUGAAAGUUUGCGGCUCAACCGUAAAAUUGCAAUUGAUACUGGCAGUCUUGAGUACAGUUGAGGUAGGCGGAAUUCGUGGUGUAGCGGUGAAAUGCUUAGAUAUCACGAAGAACCCCGAUUGCGAAGGCAGCUUACUAAACUGUGACUGACAUUGAUGCUCGAAAGUGUGGGUAUCAAACAGGAUUAGAUACCCUGAUAGUC
rnacentral:rRNA from 1 species